GGUGCUUGCAUCAUGAUUUACGUUUUGAGUGAGUGGCGAACUGGUGAGUAACACGUGGGAAACCUGCCCAGAAGCGGGGGAUAACACCUGGAAACAGAUGCUAAUACCGCAUAACAACUUGGAACCGCAUGGUCCGAGCUUGAAAGAUGGCUUCGGCUAUCACUUUUUGGAUGGUCCCGCGGCGUAUUAGCUAGAUGGUGGGGUAACGGCUCACCAUGGCAAUGAUACGUAGCCGACCUGAGAGGGUAAUCGGCCACAUUGGGACUGAGACACGGCCCAAACUCCUACGGGAGGCAGCAGUAGGGAAUCUUCCACAAUGGACGAAAGUCUGAUGGAGCAACGCCGCGUGAGUGAAGAAGGGUUUCGGCUCGUAAAACUCUGUUGUUAAAGAAGAACAUAUCUGAGAGUAACUGUUCAGGUAUUGACGGUAUUUAACCAGAAAGCCACGGCUAACUACGUGC
rnacentral:rRNA from 1 species